GAUGAACGCUGGCGGCGUGCCUAAUACAUGCAAGUCGAGCGAAUGGAUUAAGAGCUUGCUCUUAUGAAGUUAGCGGCGGACGGGUGAGUAACACGUGGGUAACCUGCCCAUAAGACUGGGAUAACUCCGGGAAACCGGGGCUAAUACCGGAUAACAUUUUGAACCGCAUGGUUCGAAAUUGAAAGGCGGCUUCGGCUGUCACUUAUGUAUGGACCCGCGUCGCAUUAGCUAGUUGGUGAGGUAACGGCUCACCAAGGCAACGAUGCGUAGCCGACCUGAGAGGGUGAUCGGCCACACUGGGACUGAGACACGGCCCAGACUCCUACGGGAGGCAGCAGUAGGGAAUCUUCCGCAAUGGACGAAAGUCUGACGGAGCAACGCCGCGUGAGUGAUGAAGGCUUUCGGGUCGUAAAACUCUGUUGUUAGGGAAGAACAAGUGCUAGUUGAAUAAGCUGACACCUUGACGGUACCUAACCAGAAAGCCACGGCUAACUACGUGCCAGCAGCCGCCGCAG
rnacentral:rRNA from 1 species